rnacentral:tRNA from 1 species
UGCCGCGCAUGGCGCGGCGGCCGGGGCACUGGCCUGGCUGGCCGGGUGGCUGACUGGAUUCGCGAUGCUGCUGCCGUUCUAUCUGCUGCGCGGCAU